GAGCCCAUUAGCUCAGUUGGUAGAGCAUCUGACUUUUAAUCAGAGGGUCGAAGGUUCGAGUCCUUCAUGGCUCACCA
rnacentral:tRNA from 1 species